CCGCCGGGACGACCCGUGCGGAGUCAUCACAGGCGGGGACGGCCCU
rnacentral:ncRNA from 1 species